UAGUUUGUAUCUACCAUAGGGUUCAGAGAAAACUAGAAAGAAAUUACAUAGACUGUAACAGAAUAAUCUUUUGAUUAAUACACGUAUCGGACGCAAUCUAUAACUUAUUCAAAAAAUUUGUGUAAACAAACACGACAGCUUGUGCUUUACAAUGAAUGUGGUGACACCUUGGAACACCUACGCAAUCUACAUAUUACAUUUUAUAUCGCUAACAAUAUCAAUAUUUUAUACCAUCAAUAUUUAAUGACUUUUUCAAAGUACUUUUAACAUGUCGGCCA
rnacentral:lncRNA from 1 species